AUAACAUAAAGUGGCUUUGUCAAAUAUUUUAAAUAGCUCGUCACGCAAUAACAGAGAAGGAUUAUUUGAGAACAGUAAAAUAUAAAAUAGUCUCAGUACUCCAACUACACUAUCACUGGUAGUAGAAACCUUAAAUUGAGAUUUUAAUUUGCUGGACUAAUACACCACGUCGUCGUAAUUGCUUUUUCUAUACUUGUCGUGGAUCUUGAAAGUACAAGGUAAAUUUAUGCCGGUAUGGUUAUCCGAGUUAAUUAUAAACAUUUUGCCAUAUUACUGGGCGGCAUGCAACCUUCUACAGAAUAUAUAAGAUAACACUCAGGAUUUCAUUAAUAAACUAAGGCAUAAGGAAAUUGGUGGUUACUUGGUAGAAAAAAUUCAAAGUUUCAGAGCAUUCAUUCUAAAAUAUCCUCAUAUAUUGCCUUUCACUUCCGUGA